rnacentral:rRNA from 1 species
UACGGGGGGGCAAGCGUUGUUCGGAAUUACUGGGCGUAAAGGGCUCGUAGGCGGCCAACUAAGUCAUACGUGAAAUCCCCCGGCUUAACCGGGGAACUGCGUCUGAUACUGGAUGGCUUGAGUUCGGGAGAGGGAUGCGGAAUUCCAGGUGUAGCGGUGAAAUGCGUAGAUAUCUGGAGGAACACCGGUGGCGAAGGCGGCGACCUGGUCCGAUACUGACGCUGGAGGCGCGAAAGCGUGGGGAGCAAACAGG